GUCCCCAGAUGCUACCAAUGCCGUCUCGUAGCACGGAUCCCCAUGACAAGCCCCUCGCUGCCCCCUCUUCUCCCAAUCACCCUCAGUGCCUGUAGGAGAGCCUCUCACUGGCUGCCCCCGCCCCUCCGCCUGUGGCCGCCUCUGCGCCUGCGCAGGACUUACUCCUAAUAAGGCCGGGGGCCCGCCCCUACCGCCCUACCGAAGGGUUCGCAUUCUCCCGCCUUCCCUCCGCCACCCGGGCGAUUGGUCUGUCAACUCUCGGCCCGCGGGGGAGGGUGCGGAGGACGGCCAAACGGCAGGUUGCGCCCCGCCCCCCCUUAAAGGAGAAGCGCUGUCAAGCUCGCCUCUCUGCUCAAUGUCUGAAUGAGACUUGAGCGGGAAGGUGGCGGAGUUCUUCCUUUCGUCUUUCCCACAAGGAGGGGGAACCUUGGUCCAGCUCCCUCGGCGCGAUAUUACCGAUAUUCUCCCCAUCAGGUGGAUCUGGAGCGGCAACUCGCGAGGCCUUAAAAGAACAGCAGGCAGCCGGUUGCUUUUCGCUGCAACCUGGAGUAAGGCCUGCGGGAACUACGCGACCCAGAGUGCAGCGGGUGCGGCUCCCGGCAUGCUCGGCGGCGGAAUUCCCGCCGAGCCGCCGCCGCUCGCUCCGCCGCCGCUUCAGCGCUGCCGCGAGCCCCGGCCCUCCUCCCGCCGCGGCUUACGCGCUCACGGAGUGCCGGGGAGGGCCGGUCGCCGAGUUGGUUCGCAGGUGGUACACCUGUACGACGACCUAUUUAGAGCACUUUGAAAACAUCUGUUAGGAGAAGUAACCAUUGAUGCGCAAAGAAAAUUCUAGACCCGAUCUACUGGAAAUGCUGCCUUUGAGACAAAAACAAGGCCCUCCAGGAAAUUCGGGGUCUUGGAAAUAACAGAAAUCUUGCUCGGGACUCGGAGAUUGCCUCGUGUUAUUUAUACUGUGGCAUUUUGUGGUUUUGAUGACUCGGAUAUUAAACCGACCCCAGCAGCGCAGUGUGGUGUACAGUUUGUGAGAACCGUCUAGGGAUUUCGCUGUUGUCAUUCUUUAAACCUUUCAGAUGAAGCAGACAGGUCUUGUCAAAAGCCAGUCACUGUUAAAAAUUGAAUCUUACUGCUUCUUACCUGAACCCUCCUGUUUUUGCCUAUUCCUGGUUUUGAAUCAGCGAGUCUUUUUGGAGGUCCUAAGUAAUGCAAGAUGCCUUGUUAUUUUCCUGUUCACGUCCGACACCUGCGGGUGUUAUUCGGCCUGAGAAGUAAUCUGCAGGCAGAUAGGACAAGGGGUUAGAAACCAGAAGUAAGAAAGUCAGUGAUGUGGGAUAACUUAGGCUGUUGGGCCCAAGAACAUAGAGCAAGAAUGGAGGAAACAAGACUGAGUGUGGUCACGGAAGUCAUUUACACAUUGUUUUCAGCUUUCCUAACUUGUUGAACAGGCUGAAAGGAAGCAAAAAUCCAAAUGGUAAUUUUUUUGAGCUUGUGUUGGCCUAAGCCUAUAAAAAACACUCUCAUGUGGUGUGUGUGUGUGUGUGUGUGUGUGUGAAUGAAUUAUUUCAGACGUGCUUUUUUUCCCCCUCAAUCUAAGCUGAUAAUCAAAGGCAUAUCCUGCCAUACCUGUGAGAGCAUACCAUGUGGAGAGCGCACUAACUUGGGGGAAAAAGAAGAAAUCACCGUAUUCUCUACACUCAAUUCUUGACCUUUGGUUAUUUAUGAUGUCAUCUCAGUAAUCACUUACCUGGACUUUGGGGGGGUUUCACGUUGGGUUCCCUUACUCAGCUAAAUGCAAAAUCUAAAAGUCCCCCAGUCCUUUGCAAUGAAGAAAUUAAUUGGUGAUAUCAGAUGCUCUGAUAAAGCAAAAAGGAAUUUUAUUUGUUCCUCAAAAUAUUUUCUACCAUUAAGUAACCCUAAAACAGAUAAGUAACCGACUGCCCCAGGUAAGUACAAGUGUCUGGGAUUACCUGUAAUUUUGAAAUCAAAGAGGUCCCUGGUGGGAAAUGUUUAUGCCUCUAAACAUUUGUCAUAUAACCUUGAUUUAUAUUGUGAGAGGGGAGGGAUAUAGCCUCAAACUCUAAUCGAAAGCAAAUUAGCAGGGGACAG
ensembl:lncRNA